rnacentral:rRNA from 1 species
GACGAACCGUGCGACCGUUGUUCGGAAUCACUGGGCUUAAAGGGCGCGUAGGCGGGUCAGCAAGUCCGGGGUGAAAUCUUUCGGCUCAACCGGAAAAGUGCCUCGGAUACUGCUGGUCUUGAGGGAGGUAGGGGUUUGUGGAACUUCUGGUGGAGCGGUGAAAUGCGUUGAUAUCAGAAGGAACGCCGGUGGCGAAAGCGACGAACUGGACCUCUUCUGACGCUGAGGCGCGAAAGCUAGGGGAGCAAACGGG